GAUGAAGAACGUAGCGAAAUGCGAUAAGUAAUGUGAAUUGCAGAAUUCAGUGAAUCAUCGAAUCUUUGAACGCACAUUGCGCCCAUUAGUAUUCUAGUGGGCAUGCCUGUUCGAGCGUCAUUAAGUCCACUUAAGCCCUGCUUAGUGUUGGGAGACUGCUCCAGCGGUGCUACCCUGUAGCUACCCUGCAGCUCCUCAAAGACAGCGGCGGAGUUGUGGUAUCCUCUGAGCUUAGUAACUUGUUCUAGCUUUCGAGUACACCACUUCCCCUGCCGUAAAACCCUUAAUUUUUAAUGGUUGACCUCGGAUCAGGUAGGAAUACCCGCUGAACUUAAGCAUAUCAAUAACGGAGG
rnacentral:misc_RNA from 1 species